AGUGAACGCUGGCGGUAGGCCUAACACAUGCAAGUCGAACGGCAGCACAGUAAGAGCUUGCUCUUACGGGUGGCGAGUGGCGGACGGGUGAGGAAUACAUCGGAAUCUACUUUUUCGUGGGGGAUAACGUAGGGAAACUUACGCUAAUACCGCAUACGACCUACGGGUGAAAGCAGGGGAUCUUCGGACCUUGCGCGAUUGAGUGAGCCGAUGUCGGAUUAGCUAGUUGGCGGGGUAAAGGCCCACCAAGGCGACGAUCCGUAGCUGGUCUGAGAGGAUGACCAGCCACACUGGAACUGAGACACGGUCCAGACUCCUACGGGAGGCAGCAGUGGGGAAUAUUGGACAAUGGGCGCAAGCCUGAUCCAGCCAUACCGCGUGGGUGAAGAAGGCCUUCGGGUUGUAAAGCCCUUUUGUUGGGAAAGAAAAGCAGCAGGUUAAUACCCCGCUGUUCUGACGGUACCCAAAGAAUAAGCACCGGCUAACUUCGUG
rnacentral:rRNA from 1 species